AUGUCGUACUCAUGGCGAAGUAACUUAAAAGGAGUAAGGCUCCUAAAUGAAGGUAUAAUAUGGCGCAUAGGAGAUGGCCGAAGUGUUAAUAUCUGGAAAGACCCUUGGUUACCAAGGAAUUAUACUCGAAGGCCAAUUACUCAAAGAGGGCAAAAUAUAAUUCAGAAAGUCUCGGAGUUGAUAGAUCCAGUAACAGGAGGUUGGGAUGAAGCCAUGGUCAAUCAGACAUUUUGCGAGGAGGAUGCCAAUUUAAUUCUGCAGAUCCCUAUAAGCGAGGACUUAGAAGACAAGGUAGCAUGGCACUAUGAUAAAAAGGAUGGAGGGCACUGUUUUUUCAAAUGCAAGCAAGCUAAGCAGGUUUGGAGGGCUACACAAUUGGAGGAUAUGAGGGCACUGCUUGUAGAGUGCAUCAACCCACAAGAUGCUCUUACAGAAAUUUUUAAGCGCAAAGAAGAGGAGAUCUCCAAGAUAUGCACACUCCUAUGGUUGUUGUGGUACAAGAGAAACAGAGAAAAUGCUAGAGAAUGUUCAAGAAAUUGCAUAGAAAUGGUGUCAUCAGUUGAACAACAUAAGAUGGAGUUUUUGGAAUAUAGCAAGAAGGGGAAACAGAAUAGGGGUGUGGCUAAACAGAGCAGAUGGAUACCCCCACUUGGUCCUUACCCGAAGAUAAAUAUUGAUGAGGGGUUAGUUGAAGCUGCUGGAGCAGGGAAGCUGCAGAAUUUAUCGGACGCUCUUCAUGCAGAAACUACAACAUUUAUCAUGGCGGCAAGACGAGCCGGAGAGAUAGGGUGCGGUCAGGUUAUUUUCGAAACUGAUGCUUUAGCACUAAAGCAAGCUGUGUUGGGUGUUGAAUAUGACCUCUCUUUACAUGGUGCUCUGUUCUUGGAAGCCAAGUAUUUACUGAGUAUGUAUUUUGAUGAUGCAACUGUAAAUUGGUGCUCAAGAUCAUGUAAUUCUGUUGCCCAUGUACUCGCGUCUUAUGGCGCAGGUUUGGAGGCUGGAAGCCAGCACCACUGGCUUACAGAACUCCCAGACUUUGUAUCAUCUGCAGUUGCUGGCGAUUUAGCCAGCCUGUGA
rnacentral:rRNA from 1 species